CCAAGAUUUUAAAUAAACAAUCUAAUGAAGCUAAGUACAAAAUCUGUUAGACUUUACAUAAAACCGAUUAUUGUUCGAUAAUACUGCCGCGAAGGUGUUUAUAUUACACACGUCAUGAAAGUACAAUCCCAAAAAUUAAGGCAGAAUACACAAUUUAUCCUGCGCUAGGUAGCAAUUGCCAUUGCUACAGCUCUUGUGAGGAAUCUACUGCCAUCAAACAAAUAUGCUCCUAUGAAGACACAUCUAAAGAAUCGGAACGUUAUCCUGAUUAUCGAUACCAAUGAUUGUGAUAAAAUAAUAAGCAGUUUCAGUGAUACAUUUACUCAACGAACGUUACUAAAAAUCGGACAAACAAAUAUUAUAGAAGCACAAAAUUUAAUAAACACGGACCAGCAUUACACAAGCACAUAUGGACAAAUCGAUCAAAACUUGGUUUCUUUGCUUUAAAUUAUCGCAAUUAAAUCUAUUCAAAUAUAAUUUAAGAGCGGCCAUCAUCCUAAACAGUUUAAAACUAUGUACAAUUAAUUCAUAGUUUUAGAAAGUCAUGUUGUAGAAGCUACUGGCAACAUUUUGAAGGUAUUGAUUAAAACAAUAUAUAAGUAAAGCGAAGUUUGUUCCUGUGAUACACGUACUUAAGAAACUCGCUCACCACUCAUCGAUAUUAGUGCGGGGUAAACUUGUUUUUAUGUAAGAUUCAAAGACGG